UACGUAGGGGGCGAGCGUUGUCCGGAUUUAUUGGGCGUAAAGAGCUCGUAGGCGGUUGCGGAAGUCGGAUGUGAAAUACCGGGGCUCAACUCCGGGGCGCCAUUCGAUACUCCGCUGACUCGAGUCCGGUAGGGGAAGGUGGAAUUCCUGGUGUAGCGGUGAAAUGCACAGAUAUCAGGAGGAACACCGGUGGCGAAGGCGGCCUUCUGGUCCAGUACUGACACUCAAGUGCGAAAGCGUGGGGAGCAAACAGG
rnacentral:rRNA from 1 species